GUUCGUUCAAUAAAAGGCGCGAAAAUAUUAUUCAAACUGAUAACGCUAGAUGGCGCCAGGAGUACUACGAGAAAUGCUUUCUCCUUUCUUUUUAAUUUAUUAUCUGUCAUUAGACAGGUUGGGCAACCGGUGUAAGUGCAACUUACCAAUUAACAUCCACACGAUAAAUCUAAUCCAUGUAAACAUGUCUAAUUGCAACAUCAAAUAAAGAUUUAUAAAAAUGCUACAGCAUGGUAUCAAUGGAAGAAAUGGAACCUGAGUAAAAAAAAA